rnacentral:rRNA from 1 species
UACGUAGGUGGCAAGCGUUAUCCGGAAUUACUGGGCGUAAAGCGCACGCAGGCGGUCUUGUAAGUUUGACGUGAAAGCUCCCGGCUUAACUGGGAGAGGUCGUUGAAGACUGCAAGACUUGAGGAAAUGAGAGGGGUGUAGAAUUCCCGGUGUAGUGGUGGAAUGCGUAGAUAUCGGGGGGAAUACCAGUGGCGAAGGCGAGUCUCUGGACGACUCCUGACACUGAGGCACGAAAGCUGGGGGAGCAAACAGG